rnacentral:ncRNA from 2 species
CCGCAAUCGCAAGGGGCUGGUUCCCGGUUGCAGAGCGAUUUGCAGCCGGGCGAAGAGGGAAUGCAAGCGGGAAAGCCCAUAUGGGCGCGACCCGCAAAAGCAGCCGCCCCCGCGACCGUAACCGGACGAGACUGACCACGAUGCCACUGGCCGCUUGCGGCAUGGGAAGGCAGGUCCGUCGUCGGCGAACCGGGCUUUCCCGCCCGAUCCGCCCCAGUCCGCAGCCGGGAGACCUGCCAGCAGAACGAAAACCCG